rnacentral:rRNA from 1 species
GACGUAGGGCGCGAGCGUUGUCCGGAUUUAUUGGGCGUAAAGAGCUCGUAGGCGGCUUGUCGCGUCGACCGUGAAAACUUGGGGCUCAACCCCAAGCCUGCGGUCGAUACGGGCAGGCUCGAGUUCGGUAGGGGAGACUGGAAUUCCUGGUGUAGCGGUGAAAUGCGUAGAUAUCAGGAGGAACACCGGUGGCGAAGGCGGCUACCUGGACAGAAACUGACGCUGAGGCGCGAAAGCUAGGGGAGCAAACAGG